rnacentral:rRNA from 1 species
UGCCAGCAGCCGCGGUAAUACGGAGGGUGCAAGCGUUGUCCGGAAUCAUUGGGUUUAAAGGGUGCGUAGGCGGGCUAAUAAGUCAGAGGUGAAAUCCAAUCGCUUAACGAUUGAACUGCCUUUGAUACUGUUAGUCUUGAAUUAAGUAAAGGUAGGCGGAAUUUAUUGUGUAGCGGUGAAAUGCAUAGAUACGAUAAAGAACUCCGAUAGCGAAGGCAGCUUACUGGACUUAUAUUGACGCUGAGGCACGAAAGCGUGGGUAGCGAACGGGAUUAGAUA